rnacentral:rRNA from 1 species
AAGCGGUGGAGCAUGUGGUUUAAUUCGACGCAACGCGAAGAACCUUACCUGGGCUUGACAUCCCGAUCGCACCUUAUGGAAACAUAGGGGUCAGUUCGGCUGGAUCGGUGACAGGUGCUGCAUGGGCUGUCGUCAGCUCGUGUCGUGAGAUGUUGGGUUAAGUCCCGCAACGAGCGCAACCCUUGUCCUUAGUUGCCAGCAUUCAGUUGGGCACUCUAAGGAGACUGCCGGUGUCAAACCGGAGGAAGGUGGGGAUGACGUCAAGUCCUCAUGGCCCUUAUGUCCAGGGCUACACACGUGCUACAAUGGCCGGUACAAAGGGGCGCAAGACCGCGAGGUGGAGCCAAUCCCAAAAAGCCGCUCUCAGUUCGGAUUGCAGGCUGCAACUCGCCUGCAUGAAGCCGGAAUCGCUAGUAAUCGCGGAUCAGCAUGCCGCGGUGAAUACGUUCCCGGGCCUU